rnacentral:rRNA from 1 species
GUCGAGAAUAAUUCACAAUGGGGGCAACCCUGAUGGUGCAACGCCGCGUGGAGGAUGACGGUCUUCGGAUUGUAAACUCCUGUCAUCUGGGAGUAAGACCUGGCGAUGAAUAGUCGACAGGGUUGAUAGUACCAGAAGAGGAAGGGACGGCUAACUUCGUGCCAGCAGCCGCGGUAAUACGAAGGUCCCAAGCGUUGUUCGGAAUCACUGGGCGUAAAGGGAGCGUAGGCGGCGUGGUAAGUCAGAUGUGAAAUCCCGGGGCUCAACCCCGGAACUGCAUCCGAUACUGCCAUGCUAGAGGAUUGGAGAGGUAGCUGGAAUUCUUGGUGUAGCAGUGAAAUGCGUAGAGAUCAAGAGGAACACUCGUGGCGAAAGCGAGCUACUGGACAAUUCCUGACGCUGAGGCUCGAAGGCUAGGGUAGCGAAAGGG